rnacentral:lncRNA from 1 species
AUUAUAAAACGUAUCGUAUAACGAAGUAGAAUUCAAAUAACGUUUUACACUAACACGGAAAUAUUUUCCAGGGGAACUAUUUUAUAAGUAACACCGCUCUUUGAUGCGCCAUGUGAAAAGGCUAACCUUGUUUUAGGCUUACAGUCUUUACUGCCCAUGCUCUGAAGAUCCAGACUUUUGGUUUCCCCAUUUAAGGAAGGUCUCCAAGUACCUUUUGGGGAACAUUCACGUUUUGUGACUGCCUUAACUGCAUAUCACUUGAAUUUCAACAUUGGAAUAUGGUAUUUGCUUUAAUGAUAUCUUUGGUGUUUGAUAGUUUUGAUUACAAUCUGUUUGCCAAAGAAGUAAAUCUCACCUUAAUCUUCUUCUUUGACCUGGCUUGGAAAUUGGGACAAGAAAUUCCGUCGUUAUUAACCAUUGCACUUACAAUGGUCAGCAUCUCUGAGGAGGAGUAAUAGUGUCCACAAGAACAACACCAUCAAUUUGAUCAUCUUUUGUGGACCCAACCAUGCAGCAAAUAUCUUCCUUUCAACUUUAUUGGACUAACUUGGUGCGGACUGAAUUCAUGCUAAAUGACUUGUCAUGGCGAUUUUAGCUGUUUACGACUACUCAAGUUGUAUCUUUUCUCUACUAAUUACUAGUAUGCAUGUCAGUGUAGUUUGAUUUCCUCUUUUGACAGUGAAUGAAUGGAUGUGGAUGUAAGCUAUCUCUAAAUUAAAAAAUAUAAUUAACACAUACAUACAUACAUCUAUAUUGCAGUUUCACAGUAAUUUUGGAUAGUAGCAUGGCUGCAACAGUAUUUUCUUUUUAAUUAAAAUUUUUUAAAUAGUAGCAGUUGUUCUUCAUACUUGGAGAAUACCUUUCUGCUAAAUCAUUCUAACAUGAUUUAAUAAUGCUGAGUUUACACCUGAGGCAAGUAGAGGUUUGUGUUGCCCUGAAGUUUGUACCCAUGACCAUGAGGUUAGCUGUGCAGCAUUUUAACCCUUUCAUUACCAACCUGGCUGAAACUGCCUCUCGCUCUGUAGCACAAGAUCUUCCACCAAACCUUAGUCACAGUUUAUGUUCCUAACACUAGCUUAAAGAUAACCAAGUUAUUUGUUAUAUUUAAAGUUAGUGAAAGAAACACAGAGCAUCUCGAAAUAAAUAUGGUAACGAAAGGGUUAAGCUCACUAAUAUUAUUAAUCAAGGCAGUGGGCUGGCGGAACCAUUACCAUGCUGGACAAAAUGCUUUGCAGCAUUUCUUCUGGCUUUAGAUUCUUGGUUCAAAUGCCACCAAGGUCCGCUUUGCCUUUCAUCUUCUUGCCAUCGAUAAAAUAAGUACCAGUGGAACACUGGGGUCAAUGUAAUUGACUGGUCCCUUCCCCACAAAUCUCAGGCCUUAUAUUUCUUAUACAUAAAUAUUCUCUAUAUUGCAAGUAUUUGUUACUAACACUUUAUUCACUAAGAAAAAAAAUUUUACUUUCCCAUUUUUACUACUUUUCAACACAAGAUUAAUUUCAAAUAGACUUCGUUCAGCUUUUUUUUUUUGUCUUUCUGCUGUCAAUUUCUAAUUAAAGUAUUGUACCCUACUUGACCUCAGUCUGUCUUCAGCGUAAAACAAUUGACACUUCUACCCCAAGACUAAAUGAAGGACAAACCAACAGUGGAAACAAUAGGUUAACAUUAAAAAUACACUCAAUUUUAAAAAUUCAAUUCACUUACAAAAUAACAAUCACACAUGCAUUCUCACUCUCUCUCUCUCUGAAUAUUUGGAGAACUACUCACAUAUAUUUUGGACAGUGCUACUGCUGCUGGACAUAUAUGCAUCCAAGACUGCAGCCAAAAGAAGGACAGUGAAUAGCAUGGUAAUGAUUCAUUUAGCAACAUGCUGCAAUCCUAGUCUCACAGAUGUGCAUUUUCCUCUUCCGUUGCUACUACAAUGGCCUAUGUGCUGCUUCAAAACUGUUAGUUGUAUAUCCUCUCCUCCCAGACACAUCUGUCUCUCAUUUUCCUGACACCUUCACCGGAUCUCAAGACCCUGCAUGGAACAACUACUCCUUAUUCUUUCUUACCAGGACCGCAAAUAUCAGUUUGUGAGUGAGGCCUGCACAGAUCAUGGCCACUGCCCCUCCAUCCCUGAUUAAAUUAUAUUAACCCCGCCCGCCCACUCCCAAAUAUUUUGUAAUAUUUCAUGGUUUAGGUGAAAUCAGAGAGCUGUUGAAACAAACACUGUGAUUUACAAUGGAACGUUGGCUGCUGGAACUUUUAAGUUGGCUCAUUUGUAGUUUAAUAACAUUAAUGUUAAAAAAAGAACAGAGACAUGUAUAUUAAUUAUAUUUUUUCUUCAUAAACUUUGUAUGCUGGA